CAUUCACCAUGGCAGGUGGUCGGAGGUCUGGGUUUCUGGUAAUUUCUAUCGUUUCUUUACUUCAUUAUGUGACAGCUAAACCCUCAACUGGUACAGACAUCGAAUUAGAUGAAAAGUAUUUGAUAACCCACCGACUUGAUAGUUUAAACAUUCUAUUAUAUACGGUUUUGUUGAUUUUAACUGUGGUGACAAUAUGGAUGUUCAAAUACCAUCGGGCAAGAUACCUACACGAAACUGGUCUCGCUGUUAUUUAUGGUUUGAUAGUGGGAGCCAUCUUGAGGUAUAGUAAAGACAACACUUCCGUGACUCACAUAAAAGUGGUCGCAGAAAAGGGACAAUCAUACAUUGAGAGCGUUCCACCUGACUCAUUGUGGUUCAGAUAUUCUCAUGAAAUCAACAAUGCCACCUCAGGCAGAACCUACGUCUAUUCUUUUAAAGGUGAAAUUGCAGAAACACUCGAGAAUGAAAUUGUUCAAAAGGCAACCUUUGACCCAGAGAUCUUCUUCAACAUUCUCCUGCCACCGAUCAUCUUCAGUGCCGGCUACAGCCUUAAGAGGAAACAUUUCUUCAAGAACCUCGGUGCCAUCUUCACGUUCGCCUUCAUCGGCACAACUAUAUCUACAUUUGUCGUUGGAGGGUUGGUGUAUGGGUUCCUCUGGCUCUUCGGUUCCACCAUCACCUUCAUCGACUGCCUGCUGUUUGGUGCCCUUAUAUCAGCCACGGAUCCAGUCACUGUUUUAGCCAUCUUCUCGGAUCUUCAUGUGGAUGUCAACCUGUAUGCUCUCGUGUUUGGAGAGAGCGUCUUAAAUGAUGCUGUGGCCAUUGUGUUGUCCAGCGCCAUAGAGAGCUACGGGAGUGACACCGGCGAUUUCGAGACGUCUGCCUUCUUCCUGGCCAUAUUCAACUUCCUGUGGAUCUUCAGCAUGUCCUUCCUGAUUGGCUCACUGAUGGGCUGCCUCACGGCCAUACUCACAAAGUUCACUCGACUCAAGGACUUCCCACUCCUUGAGACGGCUCUCUUUGUGCUCAUGUCCUACUCGACCUUUCUUAUGGCUGAGGGCGCAAAUUUAACAGGAAUUGUUGCCGUGCUAUUCUGUGGGAUAUGUCAGGCGCACUACACCUACAACAACUUAUCAGUGGAGAGCCGUGUAGCCACCAAGACACUCUUCGAACUCCUCAACUUCCUGUCGGAGAACUUCAUCUUCUCCUACAUUGGCGUCUCCAUGUUUACCUUCGACCACCACAAAUGGGAUCCUGGAUUUAUCUGCAUCGCCUUCGUGGCUAUUAUAGUCGGGAGGUUCCUCAACAUUUACCCGCUCUCCUGCUUGCUCAAUAUCGGACGCUACCCUAAGAUUCCCAUCAAGUUCAUGAAUAUGCUUUUCUUCUCAGGUCUGAGAGGAGCUAUUGCCUUUGCUCUGGCCAUCCGCAACACCAGUAGUGAUGCACGCAAGUCUAUCUUGACUACUACCUCUCUCAUUGUCAUAGUCACCGUCAUCUUGUGUGGCGGAUUUACCACACAGGUCUUGUCUUGGCUGGGGAUACCUGUUGAUGUGGAGGAUGACGAGACCCAUCACCUGAAUCAGUUCCAGCCCAUCAGAAAUGAUUACAAAAGCAUUGAUGAGUCCAGGGGUCCAGGGGCAGAGGAGGGAGGUGAGAGCGCUGUGGAUUCUAUUAGUUCCCACAAGAUCGAGAAGGCUUGGCUCUUCCGCAUUUGGUCGCGGUUUGACGUGAAGUUCAUGAAGCCCCUCCUGACGAACAGCCGCCCCACACUGCUGGACACCACGCCCCUGUGUUGUGCUCCUCUAGCCAGAAUUCUCACCACGACGGAACAGCUCACGCAGGGUAUGUUAUGGUGGAAAGGCUGUCAGUCCGUCAGUAAUGAUGAACAUAACUCUGCUGCCCACCAGGAUCGGGAUCCCCUCAAUGACGACCUGCCCCUAGACGACACCCUACUCGGUUCCGGGGGAGUGCGCACCUCCAUAGACUCAACUGGCAAGACGGACUCGCUGGCUCUGGUUUCCGGAUACUAAAGCGGGAUCGGGACUCUGGGGAUAACCGUAGCCAACAUAGCCUUGACGCCCAGAAUUUCAUGUAACUAACAACCCCCGUUCACCAAUCAUCACCUCCACAACCACUACUAACUACUGUACUACUACUACUACUACCACUACUACCACCAUCAAUGGAACUACUACUGUACUACUAACUACUGAACGACCAGACUGAGUGUAACCAACCCAGUUUACGACGGGGACCUCGGUUUAGGCACCACUGGAAGCGUUCCCACUCGCGUGUCAGUGGCUGGCUCCCGCGGUCAGGACCUGUGAACACACUUGCUCUUGGCUCCACAUCAACACAUAUCUUAUAAAAAUUGGAAGAUUGAUGCAUCAGUGAAGAGACGGUGAAAGGGCGGACACAAGUGUAUAAUAAAAAACACUACUUGGUGAUGAUGAUAAGGCAAUGAAAUGACCACAAGUUGAGAAGAGAUACAUGUGGUGACCUUGUCUUCUUGAGUACAGUAGAUCUCUCAGAAUGGAAGUGUUGUUAAUCAUAUAUAUAUAUAUAUAUACCGUUGCAUCGAGCUUCUUGUGAUGUAACUGCAGAAAAAUAGAAUAAAUACGCAUUGAAAGUCAUUUUAGUUCAGUUAUGUAAGGAAGAAGUGAUGUCGAGACUUUAUACUAGACCUGAAUGUGCCAAUUGCCAAGCCAAAUUUAUCAACUGCAACACUUCCAAAAAAAAGUUAAACUAUACAGUAUGUGCAGGUAAUGUAGUGGUGUUGAAUUUACACUGUCUAAUGUGUUGGUUCACCUCGAGGUAGAAACCAUCUAGGGGGACUAUUUACAUAUACUAAUUACAGUUGAACAAACUAUUGUGUUGUGUUGAGGUGAAGAACAGAAACUGUGAUGACAAUUUUUACUGAUUGGAGUAAUACUUGAGUUUUAUUUUUGUGGCUAAGGAGAGGUGGUGAGUCCUGAUGGUGGUUUAGUCAUAGUUCAUAUUUUAUCUAUUAAGGUUAACAGUGAAAUAUUAAAAUGUUUCUCCUUUUCUGGGGGUUGUGAAAUGGAGACUAUCACUGUAGCUAGUAAGUAUUUCCCUCUGAGAACCCUACUGGCCGUCAAGACAUAGUUCAUUGUUUUUGCGGUUUACUGAAGUUUGUCUCAUGCUGUUCACUGAGUGCACUUAACGUUUAUGUGUUUUAUGUGUUCCCACAUGUAUCGGUAUCUCAUGCACGUGUUCACGCUUGUGUGUUCCUGCUAUGAUUAGUGUGGUGCAUGUGUUCUCCUGAGGAUCGGUAAAUAAUUAUUUUUAUGCUUGUUUGUUCUCCUGAGGAUCGCUACAGCAUAUGUGUUCGCAUGUGGUCUUGUGGGGAUCAGUAUGGUACACGUGUCAACACUCGUUCAUUCUCACCAUGAUUGAGGUGUUUUCACGUGUUCAUUUGUUCUCACGAGGAUCAGUACAGCACAUGUGUUCAUAUUUGUGUGUUCUUGUGAGGAUCAAUAUCUCUUACUAAUUUGUUCUUGCAAGGAUGAGCUUCUUUAGCGUGCACACACACACACACACACACACAUAUACAUACAUACACAUGGUGUUCAUGUUUAAGUGUUAUUAUAGAUGUUGGUUUUCUUUUAUAUUUACAUAAUGACAUAACUAUAUAGGUCUUAUGUUUAUGCUUGAAUAAAACUCUGGACAGUGUAUACCUAUGGGUGAGGAAACCUUGCCUUUGUAUUUUAUUACAGUUGAAUUAAUCUAUUUAUCUAUAUCCAUUAGACUUAAUAACAAUCUCUUUAUGUUAUGAUGAGAAGAGAGUGAACGUGUGAAUCUGGAUGUAAAUUGUCACGGUUGUAAAAGUAGAUGAUCCGAGAUAAAUACUAUUAUCACUAUGUAUCUAUGUAGGAGUAAUGUGAUAAAUCCCUAUGAGAACUAUAGAGUUAUUGUAAGAGACUUGUGUAUGCUUAUCAGUGAGUGCUAGUUAUUAUGAGUCUAUAUUGAGAUGAUGUAAUCUUGUAUUGUACAGUGAGGAAAGUACCAUUGUGAACUCCACUGUUCGGGUUUAUAUUAUGUUUAAUUAUAUUGUCUUUUAGAUUAUUUUAUUUUUUGAUGAUGAUAACUCUUCCUAUAUCAUUUUAUUCUCUCACCUUCAUGUUAUAUAUAAAACUUUGGUUAAUUUUUUCUGAGAGUAUUAUUUCCGGUGUGAUACUGUAUGUGUACUAAGCUGGUCAUGCUUCAGUCUUUAAACCUUUACAUGUAUAACUCUCAACUCUCCCAUUGCUGAGGUUUUAACAUUGUAUUAUUAUUCGGUUAAUGAUGAUGAUAUAUGUGAAUUUUAUAUUAGAGAGAAGAAUUCUUUUGUUUGUUGGAUAUCUUAUAUGAAUUUUUCUUAUGAGAAGAGAAAAAAUAAAAGUGACCAAAAUAUUGACUAUCAGUUGCUUGAGUGACAGAUGGCUGAUGCAUGUGUGCUGGUGGGGAUGGGAGGGAGGUGAGGAGCCCAUGGUUGUAGUAGGCUGGGAGGACACCACUUUGGUUCACUAGUAUCCUAAUAAGGGGAUAAGGCAACCCAAUACUUGUUACAUGAUAGUGGAACAACCAUUUGGUGGACUAGCAACUUGCCAAGGAGGAAGUAUAGCCCACUAGCUGCUACAUGCUAAGAAUCCAGAGGUCAGUAAUUGUCCAACUGCUGUACCUUAUACCUGUAGCAUGAAAAUGAUUGUAUGCUUGGAAAAAGAAAAAUUAGAACUGGUUUAGGUUUUAUAGAAAGAAAACCUAACCGUUUUUAUGGUCCCCUAAAAAUAAACCCUGACGAAGAGUACUACUUGAUAUUGUUUUCUUCAUUCAAAGGGUCUAUAAACUUCAGUAACAUGGCUACUUAGUAUAGUACUCUUGUGUGGGCAUUGUUGCAAAACUGAGUUGGUAUACAGUAUAGUACAGUACUCUAAUUAUAAAAGGUUUGAUGAAUGUGAAGGGUGAUUUGUUUUAGCAAAGUCCAAAACUGAAUUGCUGUUGUACUCACCGAAAUUCGUAAAAAUAAGCAAACAGAGACUUGUAUAUCUCGUUAUUAAAAUCAUAAUGGUCUAUUCAUGUUAGGCUCGGAGCUUAGGCAUUAGGCUCAGAGAUUAGGCAUUAUGCUCGGAGCUUGGGUAUAAGGCUCCGAGUUUAACUGUGGCUGGGGUGGAGUGAAAUAAUAUUUAAUGCCCUUAUAAUAUCUAAGAGUUAUAUGUUGUUGAGUAAGACUUAGUCAUGUACCACAUUAGUAUGGACUGGAAAUAACAAAAACAGUUUACACUUGAUGAAACCUCUAUACAUUGAACACCUCUAAUGACUUAACUCGGUGUGUACUCUUGUUGUUAGCUGUUAGUCUGAUGAGAGUUCUACAUAGUUGUGUUAUAUUUUGUAAUGUAUUUUGAAUGUAGUGAUGUGGAUAAUAUUUUAGGCUUUGUUAAGAUAAUGUAAAAUAAGCACAGAAUUUGCCAGGUCACUCCACAAGCAUAUUUUAUUAUUAAUACAGUUUAUCAUAGACUCUGAUACAACAAUAUAACUUAUGGUUGUAAAUAUGGCUUCUCUAUGUAAAUACUGAGUAUAUGAUCUACAAGUAUAUUUGUACUUAUUCUUUUUCAAUGCCACUUUUGAGUGUUAAUGCAAAAAUCCUCCUCUAUACCUCUUUCCCCCUUGAAAAUAGUAUGUACAAUGUGCUGUUAUGGUCGAAGCAUUGAAAAGAAGACUUUAAGAUACGCAGCAAACUAGUGACUGUUAACAUCAGUAUAAGACAGUAUAAGAGUACAUCGUAAGAUUCCACUUAAUGAGCAGUAGGUGUGUGUGUGUGUUCCCAAAGAAAUGCUCAAUGGGUGAAUUAUCAUUUGUCGGGACCCAUUUUCCCAUAAGACCCCAUGUUAAAAGCCGAGUUGUAUUUCAACCCAUAAAAUUUCUUUACCAUUCUUUAGUCUUCUACCUGUCGUGGGAAGAUAACUUGUCAGAUGUAAAGUCAACCUGUGAUAGUGUCUGAGAAUACAGUAUAAACUACAUCCAGGAUGAACAUGUUUCGAAGCUGUUGUAAAAUAAAAUAAGAAACCCAAUUUAUUUCAGUACUACAUACACAUUUUUCCACAAUGUUUCAAGAAAAUACAUAUAGACACGUGCACACACACCAGGUGGAGGAACCUAUUUUUCAUUAAGGAGUCGUACUUCUUACAGAACUGUAUUCAGCUUUGUUGUGAGGCAAACUAAAGAAAAAAUUCCAGUCUUGAAAUUUUGAAGUCACACACCACCAUUGCCUCCCAAACUCUGAUGCCUAUGAAGUAUUCUGUAAUUAUCAUAAACAACUUCAUAAAAGCUGACCAGUUCUUCUUUUUGUCAUUUAUAUCAUAUUUGUAUUACUGUAUACAGUACUGUAUUUGAGUUUCUAGAACAUAAACAGUACUAAUUUUACACAUACUGUACAGUACAUAUAAUUAUAACAUAUAACCAGAAGAUAUGGCAAAGCCUCUUUAUGUUAAAUUAGUUAUCAUGUAGGAGUAUGAUACAGUACAGUAUUUAAUUAUUUUAAGAGUCAUAAUCUUGAGUUGAAUCACUGUUCAUUUUAUAACUCUUGCAGCACAGUAUCUUAAGUAGUGUUACCGAAUCAAUCCUUACCGGUAUAAUUUUUUAACCAGAUAAAUUAUAUUAUUAUCUUUCAGUGGUCCAACAGAUAUGUAGUGAAUAAUGAAAUGUAUUUACUCUUGUCAUGGCUUCUUUGUCUGUAUAUACUAUGGCUGUGAAAUUAAAGGAUAUCUCCUGAAAUUAUACGGAGGAAGUAACACUAAAUUUUACUUUCAUAUUCUUGAAUUAUUAUCAGCAAUUGUUAGGGAUUUAAAAAGAAUAUCAGUGAUGACCUUUUGUGGCUGCUUCUCAGAUUCCAUAAACAAAAUCUUUGUUUAAUUUUUCCCUUGUCGGAGGGAACAGCAUAACAAAAUAUGUGUAAUGUUAGAUAACAAGAACGAAUAACAGUAAAUUAAGGGAGGGGCGGUGAUUCUCUUAAUUACGGCCACUUUGUAUCAUGGCAGAAAAGGUUAAUAAGGAUGGAUAAGAAAUUUAAUCAAUAGUUGAGAAGGAAUAUGGUGAAUAUGAGAAGAGGGUUUGAUGAAAUAUCCCUAGUGAGGCUGUUUGUCAAUUAUCUAGUCUACAGUAUUUUAACCAAUAGCUGUACUGAUAGAGCUGUUGUUGGUUUAAAAAGGGGCCUUUUUUUCUGUUAUUCACUUAUAAUUUGGAAUAGUCUGACUUAUAAGUAGAAACAUACAACAUUGUGAAUUGAGACUUUCUGUAUAAUCUUUUAAUAUGGUACAGUAUACAUGUAGUCUACAAAUAUAUUGACCAACUAUAUUUUCCAUUUUUUUUCUUGUUAUUUCUUUUCUGAACAGUAUUUAAAUCCUUCCACGGAAAGUCGGCAGAGAGUGAAAACAUUACCCACGUUUAUUGUAUCACAUAGAAGGGGAGGUUGUGGAUUAUCCUAUACUGUAUAAUCUGGUAGGAAUUAUGUUAACAUUUCUUUGCAUUUACUUGCCCAUUAUAUUCUCCAAGUCUUUAAUCUUGUGGCUCUUAACACUAUAACCAGUUGUUAGGUCUGCACAUUGAGAUAUUCUGUAUAAGCUUUUUGAUCUCAGAGGGUGUUGAUGUGAUAUUUAGUCUUUUCAGAAAAAAAUUAUGUCUGGUACUAACACAUUAUUUGUACAAUAAUACUAAUGCUACUGAUUUUACACUUUUUUUUAUUAUUCAUUUGUUAUUUAUUUAUUCACGUUUUCUAUUUAUUUGGUUGAAUAUGAUUUUCAUUAAAUAAGUCCUGAAUGGUAUUUGCUUCAUGUGUUCAGCUGUUAUGGUUCAUGCCUUAGUCUCGUGAGUGGUCAAUGUAGGCAAUUUUUUUUUUUUUUUUUUUUUAACUUGACUGUCUACCUCUUGGGUAAAUAUGUGCUAUUUUGAGGUAAUAAUAAGCAUUUGCAUUAUCUAAAGUUAUUUGGUACGGUCCUGCAUAAAACACCCAACUUUUGUGUGAUAAGUUGCAGAGUUAUUUGAAUGGAGACUAAAUUCAGUUUUUUCACAGCAUAAAUCAAUGAAAUUUACAAUACAGCAAUUAGAAUGUGUCUGGCAUUGUUCAGAUGUCUUUUGAGUCUGUCUUUUGACUUAAAUUUAUAAGCAUUAUGAAUCUUAUUUGAAAAUGAGCUUUGAUGGAAUGUGGUAGGAAUGAUCGAGGUAUUUUGAUGGAACUGUGUCACUGAACUUGCAUGAACUUUAUAGUGUGAUGAGAACUAAAACUUUAUUGCACAUGAUACAGAUUGACAUGUAUUGAGACAUGAGCUUACACAAAUAGCUUUUUCGAAUGCUUAAAAAAAAUAUCUUGGCUAUUGAGCAGAAGCACUCUCAUGUGAUUGUUACAUUAUACACUAUUGCAUGAAAUAUGUUACAAGCACUUUAUGUAAAGAAUAAUAUAAUUUUUCAUUAAGGUUUUCCUGUAUGAUCAAAUACAAGUUAUGAGGAGGUCAGGCUAUAGUUAUUUAGGAAGAACACUCAAGACUCAUGAACAGGUUAAAUAUACUCAUCAUCGUUAAAUUUAUCAUGUGAAAUUACUCUUAAUAAGAUAAAGUAAGGAGACACUUUCUAUUGUAGCUUGAUGACAGCUUAUGGAGUACUCUAGGAAAAUUAUGAGCAAGUACAUAUUAUAUAGUUUAUGAGCAGCAAGAACACAUGAUACAGUAUAGUUUAUGAGCAGCAAGAACACAUGAUACAGUAUAGUUUAUGAGCAGCAAGAACACAUGAUACAGUAUAGUUUAUGAGCAGCAAGAACACAUGAUAUAGUAUAUAAACAGCAGGUACUGGUACACAUAAUACAGUUUUUCAUGGUGGUGUAUAUUUGUUGUCAUCAAUGUGAAGUUGUUAAGAUUUUCAAAAUUUUCUUUUUAUAGUACUAAUAGUUUUUCACUCGUAGUCUGUAUACAGUAAACCCUCGAAGAUCUGAACCCGGGAAAUCCGGAUUUCGGAAGAUCCGGACAAAAAAUUUGGGGGUUCUGGGCUAAGAAGCCUAGAAGUUUCCCUAAGAAGCAUUCCCAAACCAGAGCAUAGAACAUUUUAGGCCCAUGGGUGCUGCUUGACCUGUCAGUUGGUUGGACACAGGUGCCCGAGGAGGUGGGAAACAGAGUUGACAAUUGUUGUUUGUGGGAAUAUUAUUUCAUUCACUCUAGUAGUGAUACAAUGUUUCUUAUUAUGUUAUCAUAGAUAAAUGCAUGGUUAAUAUAUGCUAAUUUGUUUAUUACUACAUUAGUACUAUAUUUUUGGUGUUUUUUAUACAGGUAUCAAUUAUUAUUCGCCGGAAAAUCCUGACAAUUGACUUUUGCCGGACAGGUGGUCCUCCCUUUUAGUCCGGAUCUUCGAGGGUUCACUGUACCGGUAUUUAGGGAGGUGGCUUGUGAGUUUUAUACUUAUGUUGAAGAGGUAUAUAUUAAUAUGCUGUGUCAUAAGACCAUAGCAGGAUGGCUAAACCAACAACAUAUAAAAGUGAAUGGUUGUAAUUUAUGAUUGCUAGACCUGGUGUGUAAGAUGUGACACGAGGUUAAUAAUAUUAAAGGCUAUGUGGUGUUAGAUAAUGUAAUAUCACCGGAAUGUAAAUGAGUGUUGUGUGAUAAAACAGUGACAUGUAUCGCUGACAGUGUGUAGGAAGGGUUAAAUAUACAAACUGAUAGACCAAGUAGGGUUUUCAAACUAUUUUUGCAAAGUGUUAGUUAUUUAUUAGAUUUUUUUAUGGUGUGGUUGACUUUAAGUAGUGAAGUCUUUUUUCAUACAGGUUAUUGAAUGAUCCCACUGUUGUUUAGUACCAAAUAAAGCAGCUUUGCUUUCUUAUAAAAUAGGGUUGAAAAUGAAUAUAAUUCAUUAAACACUCUU